UCGGGAGUCAGACUGCGAGUGAUAAGAUCCGUAGUCGAAAGGGAAACAGCCCAGACCACCAGUUAAGGUCCCCAAAUAUAUGUUAAGUGGAAAAGGAUGUGGGGUUGCUUAGACAACCAGGAUGUUGGCUUAGAAGCAGCCACCAUUGAAAGAGUGCGUAAUAGCUCACUGGUCGAGUGACCCCGCGCCGAAAAUGUACCGGGGCUAAACAUAUUACCGAAACUGUGGAUGAACCUCUUUAGAGGUUCGUGGUAGGAGAGCGUUCUAAGGGCGGUGAAGUCAGACCGGAAGGACUGGUGGAGCGCUUAGAAGUGAGAAUGCCGGUAUGAGUAGCGAAAGAAGGGUGAGAAUCCCUUCCACCGAAUAUCUAAGGUU
rnacentral:rRNA from 1 species